rnacentral:lncRNA from 1 species
GCAGAGUGGCUGAGAGGCAGAGUGGAGCAGCAGCGAAGGAGAGAAGAGAAGUAGCAGCCAGACAUCAGAGAGAAACAGCUUGAUUUCAGAGGGACAGCUUGACGAUGGGACUUCAGAGAAGAGUUCAGCCAAGGAUGGCCGAACUCCAGGUUCUAAGAUGAUUUCUUUGGUUCGAGGCACAUUUUCUUGCAUUUGUAUUGAUGAUGGGAAGGGAAGCUGGCUAUCUGCAUAUGCGUUUACUUGACAACAGACAAGCUGAAGAGGCAUCGGAAGACCAGAGGGCAGCCCAAGCAGUCCCUCUAGUCACAACGCAGGCACAUAACAUACGCAGAUGCCUUCUUAGGAAAGUAGUCAUGGGGAUUGGGGAAGUUUUGAGACAAGACAAAU